UAAACCUGAGAAACCCAAAAGAUCGAAUGGGGAGAUUCAUCGUCAUCGGCUCUGGCUUCCUUGUGGACGCGAUGGCUCGGACCUCGGUUCGGCGUCACGCGUUCGCUGAGGUUAUGUCCGGAGUCGUCGGCGUGCACUUCUCCCCUAGUAGGACGUCGCGACCCGCUGGGUGCUGGCCUACGGCCCGGUCGGUCGACUGUCGCGCAANUUUCACGCGUGCGCGCGGCAGACCACUGGUUGCCCGGCCUGCUGCCCGGCGGUAUAGAACGCUUUUUACCUGGUAUCGAGCCGCAUUAAGUGCGUUCCGGCUCGUCGGCAGGCUCGUCUCGCCCGGAUUUACGGACCUAGCGCGUUGCCGGGUGCUUGAUGGGCCGUUAGUCGACGANGUCCUCGAACUGGCUCUUAUAUUCGA
rnacentral:rRNA from 1 species